CUGUUGAAGUCGUCGGCGGAGUCCGGCUCCCGUAGGAGUCUGGACGCAGUCUGUUUUGCAGCCGUUGGAGUCGAGGGCGAAGUCCGGCUCCCGUAGGAGUCCGGACGAAGCUUGACUUUAAGGUCGGCCUUGCUGGCGGAGUUGUUGAUUUUGUUGAGGACUUCGGCUGGGGGUAUUUUAUACCCAACACGAGUCCCCCUACUUUCGAGUUUGAAUUUCGAACGUAGGAAGUACAGAGAGAUGGGCACAGUCGAAGCCGUCCCCUCGCAUCCUGUGCACUGCCGCCCCCAGAUAUUUUGGUAUUUAAUGUGUGCACGUCAGAGCCCAUUUUUCGGUGAAGGCGACCUGAAGAGUCUUUUCGAAACCCCUGUCGGAAUGCGAUCCCAAGCGUCGUGCUACGGAAAUUCGUGAACGAUCAACCCUCGAUAGCAGUGAAGGGGACAUGCGGGAUGCGUGGCAUGCACCAGUUGGCCCAGGAACACCUGCCGCCAUAACUGCGCUAGGAUCUGUCGGCUAUUUAAACCCCCUACUCUCCCUUCAUGGCUUCAUCCUGUCGAUAGGACGGUACCUUUCUUUCACCUGAGAGCCUAGCUACUUAGCUACUUCCCUUGCACCAGUCCCUGCCUUCUUCAGCCCCCCACUUCUUCUCUGAGGGUUCCAACACCAUGUCUUCUACCCCAGAGGCCCUCCUUGAAGGGAUAUCUAGGGCUUGGAGGAAGGCGAGGAGGAGAACAGCGGCCG
rnacentral:lncRNA from 1 species